AGGAUUCCCCUAGUAACUGCGAGUGAAGCGGGAAAAGCUCAAAUUUAAAAUCUGGCAGUCUCUGAUUGUCCGAGUUGUAAUCUAGAGAAGUAAUGCCCGUGCUGGACCGUGUAUAAGUCUCCUGGGAUGGAGCGUCAUAGAGGGUGAGAAUCCCGUCUUUGACACGGACUACCAGUGCAUUGUGGUAUGCUCUCAAAGAGUCGAGUUGUUUGGGAAUGCAGCUCAAAAUGGGUGGUAAAUUCCAUCUAAAGCUAAAUAUUGGCGAGAGACCGAUAGCGAACAAGUACCGUGAGGGAAAGAUGAAAAGAACUUUGGAAAGAGAGUUAAACAGUACGUGAAAUUGCUGAAAGGGAAACGCUUGAAGUCAGUCGCGUUGGCCAGAAAUCAGCCUUGUUUUUUGCAGGGUGUACUUUCUGGUUGAUGGGUCAGCAUCAAUUUUGACCGCUGGAAAAAGACCUGGGGAAUGUGGCAGCUUCGGCUGUGUUAUAGCCCCUAGUUGCAUACAGUGGUUGGGAUUGAGGAACUCAGCACGCCGCAAGGCCGGGUUUCGACCACGUUCGUGCUUAGGAUGCUGGCAUAAUGGCUUUAAGCGACCCGUCUUGAAACACGGACCAAGGAGUCUAACAUGCCUGCGAGUAUUUGGGUGGAAAACUCAAGUGCGUAAUGAAAGUGAAAGUUGAGAUCCCUGUCGUGGGGAGCAUCGACGCCCGGACCAGAACUUUUGGGACGGAUCCGCGGUGGAGCAUGUAUGUUGGGACCCGAAAGAUGGUGAACUAUGCCUGAAUAGGGUGAAGCCAGAGGAAACUCUGGUGGAGGCUCGUAGCGAUUCUGACGUGCAAAUCGAUCGUCAAAUUUGGGUAUAGGGGCGAAA
rnacentral:rRNA from 1 species